UACGAAGGGGGCUAGCGUUGCUCGGAUUGACUGGGCGUAAAGGGCGCGUAGGCGGUUCGUACAGUCAGACGUGAAAUCCUGGGCUCAACCUGGGGGCUGCGUUUGAUACGUGCGGACUUGAGUGCGGAAGAGGGUCGUGGAAUUCCCAGUGUAGAGGUGAAAUUCGUAGAUAUUGGGAAGAACACCGGUGGCGAAGGCGGCGACCUGGUCCGAUACUGACGCUGAGGCGCGAAAGCGGUGGGGAGCAAACAGG
rnacentral:rRNA from 1 species